UGCCAGCCGCCGCGGUAAUACGAAGGGGGCGAGCGUUGUUCGGAAUUACUGGGCGUAAAGGGUGUGUAGGCGGAUAUUUAAGAUAGUGGUGAAAUGCCGGGGCUCAACCUCGGAAUUGCCAUUAUGACUAGAUGUCUAGAAUGAUGCAGAGGGUAGCGGAAUACCCAGUGUAGAGGUGAAAUUCGUAGAUAUUGGGUAGAACACCAGAGGCGAAGGCGGCUAUCUGGGCAUAAAUUGACGCUGAGGCACGAAAGCAUGGGGAUCAAACAGGAUUAGAUA
rnacentral:rRNA from 1 species